rnacentral:lncRNA from 1 species
AUGGGCCUAAUAGAUAGCCUGCUUACCUUUGUAGAUUUGAGGGCCUAUGUUGAUAAGGAUUUACAUCUGAAGUUACGUUUUCGGGCAAAGGUUUUCCCCUCUUGAAGCUAAACAAUGACGUAAAUAUCGCCUCAUUGGUCCAGUUUUCGUUUUCAGCUGGAAGUGGAAUGCAUGAUGAAGGAGGACACAUUUGAGCUUAUGUUCAAGAUGAACACAAUCUUGAUUCAAAUCUGU